CCCUUAGAUGUUCUGGGCCGCACGCGCGCUACACUGACUGACUCAACGAGUGUACAACCUGCUUCGACAGAAGUGGGUAAUCUUUUGAAAUUCAGUCGUGAUGGGGCUAGAUUAUUGCAACUAUUAAUCUUCAACGAGGAAUGCCUAGUAAGCGCGAAUCAUCAGUUCGCGUUGAUUACGUCCCUGCCCUUUGUACACACCGCCCGUCGCACCUACCGAUUGAAUGGUCCGGUGAAUCUUUAGGACUGUGGCUGAGGCCUUGCCUUGUGCGGGUCUGGCCGUGGGAAUUUAGUUAAACCUUACCAUUUAGAGGAAGGUGAAGUCGUAACA
rnacentral:rRNA from 1 species